AUCCUUUGGGACCAGCUUUUCUUCCAGCAGGGGAUGGUGUGAGCUGGGCUCUGCGGGUGCUGAGGCUGCUCUGGGCUCUGCCAGGGCCCUGCUGGAGCUCAGCACCGGGCUGCAAUCAGCCAAAGGAGAAAUGGGGUGACCUGCAGCACAGACUUGCUUGAGCAUUUCAGAAACACAGCUCAAGUUUGUAGAGUGUACACCUCCAAGGGAAAACAUGCCACCACCCAAAAAAUAAACUCGUUCAAUAACUUCUGAAAUGAAAACAAUCUGGGAUGAUCCCUAAUGACUUUUUGCAGCUUGCUCACGCAGUAGCUCAGCCCUUCUCUGAACUGUUCUCUCCCCCAGCUGCCUUUUACUUCCCAACUGCUCCCUCUUUUCCCCCAGUGAGCUCCCAGCCCAUUCCAAUCUCCAUCACACUGUUGCCUUCCUUGGUGCCCCUCGCCAUGAGGAAGGCCGAGCCCCAGGCUUAGGGACUCAUCCUGUCACUGGCUGAGGAGCAGCAAUGUCUCAGAGGUCCAGUGGGAUUUUA